rnacentral:rRNA from 1 species
UACGGAGGGAGCUAGCGUUGUUCGGAGUUACUGGGCGUAAAGAGUGCGUAGGCGGUUUCCUAAGUUUGGUGUGAAAUCUCCCGGCUUAACUGGGAGGGUGCGCCGAAGACUGGGGAGCUAGAGGAUGGGAAAGGCAAGCGGAAUUCCUGGUGUAGCGGUGAAAUGCGUAGAUAUCUGGAGGAAUACCGGUGGCGAAGGCGGCAUCCUGGACCGACAUUGACGCUGAAAACCGAAAGCUAGGGGAGCAAACGGG